CAGAGGUUACUGCUAUCGAGAUUCGACUAASCCMUGCGAGUUGAAUGUUCUUCGUGAACAUGGCGGACUGCUCAGUAACACGUGGACAACCUACCCUUGGGUCCGGCAUAAUCCUGGGAAACUGGGAAUAAUUCCGGAUAGGUCACCGAUGCUGGAAUGCGCGGUGGCCGAAAGCUCCGGCGCCCGAGGAUGGGUCUGCGGCCUAUCAGGGUUGUAGUGGGUGUAACGUACCUACUAGCCUACGACGGGUACGGGUUGUGAGAGCAAGAGCCCGGAGAUGGAUUCUGAGACACGAAUCCAGGCCCUACGGGGUGCAGCAGGCGCGAAAACUUUACAAUGCGGGAAACCGUGAUAAGGGGAUCUCGAGUGCCAGCAUAUAAUGUUGGCUGUCCAGAUGCCUAAAAAGCAUCUGUUAGCAAGGGCCGGGCAAGACCGGUGCCAGCCGCCGCGGUAACACCGGCGGCCCGAGUGGUAACCGCUAUUAUUGGGUCUAAAGGGUCUGUAGCCGGCCAGGUAAGUCCCUUGGGAAAUCUGGCAGCUCAACUGUCAGGCUGCUAGGGGAUACUGUUUGGCUUGGGACCGGGAGAGGUGAGAGGUACCUUGGGGGUAGGGGUGAAAUCUUGUGAUCCUCGAGGGACCACCAGUGGCGAAGGCGUCUCACCAGAACGGGUCCGACGGUAAGGGACGAAAGCUAGGGGCACGAACCGGAUUAGAUACCCGGGUAGUCCUAGCCGUAAACGAUGCUCGCUAGGUGUCAGUCACGGUGCGACCGUGAUUGGUGCCGUAGGGAAGCCGUGAAGCGAGCCACCUGGGAAGUAUGGCCGCAAGGCUGAAACUUAAAGGAAUUGGCGGGGKAGCACUACAACGGGUGGAGCCUGCGGUUUAUUG
rnacentral:rRNA from 1 species